GUUUGAUGGCAUUUUAAAUACUUUGCACCAAAUGAUAAUGCCUUCAAAUUUAAUAUCCUGCGCUUCAAAUGCUGCGUAAAAUUAACACCUUUGUUGUGAUAAAAUGAAAAGUUCGACUGAUCACGGAAUUCCGCAAUAUUGUAUACAUUUCAACAGGCAAAUUGAAGAAAUGUGAUUAAAAAUUGCUUGAAACCCUAGGACGCACCAAUGAGGGAAAUUCAUACCCCCGUGCAAAGUUUUAUCUGUUAUUGGACGAUAUUCCUCCUGGAAGACAUAAUGGGAAUUGAAAAAAGAAAACUGCCAUUGAUCAUGGUCUGAUGUCUCUUAAUCAGCAAAGUAGCCAAUAUUUUACUCUGAAACAGAGUACUUUCAUUUGAGAUUCCAUUUCUUACUUGAUUCCAAAUGCGCUGCUGCUCCCUGCGCUGCUGUGUGCUUCAGGUUUUGAACCAAUGUUUGUGGUCUCCUUGGGCAACAUUUUUUUUGCAGUUGGCUCAAACCAUGGAAUUACAAAUAUCCCCAAAUUUUAUAUGCUGGGGGUCUAAAACAGCAGGGGAAUGACCGACUUCACAUCGACAAGCUCCCAACUUUAGGAUAAUGUCAGGUAGCAGCUUCUGAAAUUUUCUUCUCCAUUUGGUGCUGUUAAAAAAUCUUUUAUAGUUCGUUUAAAAAGUAUAGGUUUUUUGAAGCUGCUCGAGAUAUAGAUAAGGCAACGCAUAGGGAUGUACCGGAUAUCCGGUAGGCCGGAUAAUCCGGCGCCGGAUCGUUGAUUUUUUGAAAAUCCGGUUCCGGCCGGAUUUGUUUCCGAAAUCCGGCCAGUUGCCGGAUUUUCCAGAACUUUAAAGGGGAACUGAAGUGAAAAAUGAAAAUCAAUUAUUUAGUAGUUUUCAUCGUGCUGAUUUCGAAUAUCGACACGAAAUUAGUGUUUUUCUUUUCGUUUUCCUGCAUUCACAACGCGAAGUGUGAAAUUUCUCCAUUUCCGUGGCGGAGAGGUCUGGAGACAAGUUUCAGGCGCUGACGUAAAGUCGUGGACACGUGCCCCGAUCGCAACGAAAACAACAUUGUAGUAGGUAGUAGAGUGAAUCGGAGGGAGGGAAUUCGGUUAGUGGUUAGAAUUUCAGUUCGCAAUUUUCACGACAGCUCUUCAGGAAUGACAACAGACUUAAGAUCGAGCGACGAUGAAUCUGGAGCAUGUGGUGGUGAAGUACUUGCCCUACCAAGGGCGAACGGGAACUGCGAAAGUGGCGAUGAAGAUUAGCCUAGGCCCGAUGAGAUCCCAGAGGCUGAGGAUGAAUUAUCUCCCGCGACGUGCUCGUUUUGUCGGUAGAAAUGAGGAAGUAAAUCAAUGGUAUCUACAAACAGUGGCCGAUCAAUGGAUGGUUUGCUGGUUUUUGGGUAUUUGUGCUGGAAAAACUGGACAACUUUAAGUAUGAAUUUAUCACAAAAUGUAAAGAAAAGAACUUUAGUCAAAGAUAACAAGAGUUUCAAAAUUCUGCAGAGAGACAAUGAAAAUGCAAAACUCAGCUACCUACUACAUAUACAGUGGAGUACAGGGUUAUAUACAGGGGUUAUUCAAAGGGACCAGACUUUCAGUUCAUAAUAGCAAGAAGAGAAAUUUAGAACUAGUGGGGUCAUGUUAUAAGUUAGAAAUUUGUUAAAACUAGUGGGGCAAUGGCCAAAUCUUGUCAGCCCUAGGCCAAAUCACUAGAUUAGUCACAUCAAGGGGGGGAGGGGUUGGGGAUUGAGCAAGGCUUGAUAUUUUCAAGAUUCCUAAGGUAUAUUUUUCAAGAUAUUUUACUCACAUCAAAAUGUGUAGAAUAGUUUGGAUUUGAUAAAGUUUUUCUCUUACAAUAAUGGUCCUGUACCACCUGCUUGGUAACAUUUUUUAUACAUAAUCAGAAGAAAAUGUUUUACCUUCA